CCUUGGUGCGGAUGUCCGGCGGCAGGUUGCCCACGUAUAUUCGACAGUCGUUGUUGCCCGCCGGCCCACGGAUCACGCCGCUGUGGUUCUGCAUUCCGUUCCCCUCCAGCCCGACGGUUGGUGCGGCUUAAAAUAGCAUCUGUAGAAUUUUGCUUCAGUGAUGUGUCUAAAGCGACACCAGAGGACGAAAUUUCAGGAGGAAGGUCAUCCAGACAGAUGUGAGAAAGGUUUGCUGAAAGAAGUUUGUGAGAAAAAAAAUGCCCUUUCCAGACAUGGUAUUUACAAACUGAAGGCCCAAUGUAGGAAGCAAUAAAGAAGAAUCUAUCAUCAUGAAUGUAGGAUGGGAAGGAGGAACCCACAUCCACCAGAGAGUGUCUAUAGGCAGGGGCUGUCUUACAAGAUGAUAUCAGAGGAGUUUUGUAUGAUUACUUUUUCGCAAAGAUGUAAUUUGGGCAAAAUUGCCCACAGUGCAACAAAGAUCUACAUUCAUUAAGUCUCAAAUGCUAUAUUGUGAAGGGUGUCAGUCUUCAUCAGUUUGACAUAUCCCCAAUUCUUCAUCCAACCCUGAAGUCCAUCACAUUCCACAGUAUCACUGGCUUCCCCAAAGUGCUUGGAGCCGUCGAUGGAAUCCAUAUUCCACAGAAGGCACCUACACCACGACCAUGUCUGGAA